rnacentral:misc_RNA from 1 species
GAUGAAGAACGUAGCGAAAUGCGAUAAGUAAUGUGAAUUGCAGAAUUCAGUGAAUCAUCGAAUCUUUGAACGCACAUUGCGCCCGCCAGUAUUCUGGCGGGCAUGCCUGUUCGAGCGUCAUUUCAACCAUCAAGCCCCAGGCUUGUGUUGGGGACCUGCGGCUGCCGCAGGCCCUGAAAACCAGUGGCGGGCUCGCUGUCACACCGGGCGUAGUAGAUUUUAUCUCGCUCAGGGCGUGCUGCGGGUUCCGGCCGUUAAAAAGCCUUUUUUACCCAAGGUUGACCUCGGAUCAGGUAGGGAUACCCGCUGAACUUAAGCAUAUCAAUAAGCGGAGG